UACGAAGGGGGCGAGCGUUGUCCGGAUUUACUGGGCGUAAAGAGCGCGCAGGCGGUCGAUUUAGUCGCGUGUGAAAGCCCCCGGCUCAACUGGGGAGGGUCACGCGAUACUGAUCGACUCGAAGGCAGGAGAGGGUAGUGGAAUUCCCGGUGUAGUGGUGAAAUGCGUAGAUAUCGGGAGGAACACCAGUGGCGAAGGCGACUACCUGGCCUGUUCUUGACGCUGAGGCGCGAAAGCUAGGGGAGCAAACGGGG
rnacentral:rRNA from 1 species